UGAUAACGUUUGGCUUAAGUUUUUAUGGACUUCUCCUUUUUAAUUGGCAGUGGAAAACGGUAUUUUUGUUAUUCGUUGUUUUUUUUUAUGUACGUUCUCGGUUGCUUGUUGUUUCAUUGACAUAUUUUCUCUUUUUGAAUUGGUUGUGGAAAACGGUAUUUUUGUUAUUCGUUUUUUUUUUAUUUACGUCGUCGGUUGCUUGUGUGUUUCGUUGACAUAUUUUCUCUUUUUUUAAGAUGUAUAUUCUUUUAAUGAUGUAUCGUAACUGCGGAAGGGCACACUUCAGUUAAAGAAUUUU
rnacentral:lncRNA from 1 species